rnacentral:rRNA from 1 species
GACGAACGCUGGCGGCGUGCCUAAUACAUGCAAGUAGAACGCUGAAGAGAGGAGCUUGCUCUUCUUGGAUGAGUUGCGAACGGGUGAGUAACGCGUAGGUAACCUGCCUUGUAGCGGGGGAUAACUAUUGGAAACGAUAGCUAAUACCGCAUAACAAUGGAUGACACAUGUCAUUUAUUUGAAAGGGGCAAUUGCUCCACUACAAGAUGGACCUGCGUUGUAUUAGCUAGUAGGUGAGGUAAUGGCUCACCUAGGCGACGAUACAUAGCCGACCUGAGAGGGUGAUCGGCCACACUGGGACUGAGACACGGCCCAGACUCCUACGGGAGGCAGCAGUAGGGAAUCUUCGGCAAUGGGGGCAACCCUGACCGAGCAACGCCGCGUGAGUGAAGAAGGUUUUCGGAUCGUAAAGCUCUGUUGUAAGUCAAGAACGGGUGUGAGAGUGGAAAGUUCACACUGUGACGGUAGCUUACCAGAAAGGGACGGCUAACUACGUGCCAGCAGCCGCGGUAAUACGUAGGUCCCGAGCGUUGUCCGGAUUUAUUGGGCGUAAAGCGAGCGCAGGCGGUUUGAUAAGUCUGAAGUUAAAGGCUGUGGCUCAACCAUAGUUCGCUUUGGAAACUGUCAAACUUGAGUGCAGAAGGGGAGAGUGGAAUUCCAUGUGUAGCGGUGAGAUGCGUAGAUAUAUGGAGGAACACCGGUGGCGAAAGCGGCUCUCUGGUCUGUAACUGACGCUGAGGCUCGAAAGCGUGGGGAGCGAACAGGAUUAGAUACCCUGGUAGUCCACGCCGUAAACGAUGAGUGCUAGGUGUUGGAUCCUUUCCGGGAUUCAGUGCCGCAGCUAACGCAUUAAGCACUCCGCCUGGGGAGUACGACCGCAAGGUUGAAACUCAAAGGAAUUGACGGGGGCCCGCACAAGCGGUGGAGCAUGUGGUUUAAUUCGAAGCAACGCGAAGAACCUUACCAGGUCUUGACAUCCCGAUGCUAUUUCUAGAGAUAGAAAGUUACUUCGGUACAUCGGUGACAGGUGGUGCAUGGUUGUCGUCAGCUCGUGUCGUGAGAUGUUGGGUUAAGUCCCGCAACGAGCGCAACCCCUAUUGUUAGUUGCCAUCAUUCAGUUGGGCACUCUAGCGAGACUGCCGGUAAUAAACCGGAGGAAGGUGGGGAUGACGUCAAAUCAUCAUGCCCCUUAUGACCUGGGCUACACACGUGCUACAAUGGUUGGUACAACGAGUUGCGAGUCGGUGACGGCGAGCUAAUCUCUUAAAGCCAAUCUCAGUUCGGAUUGUAGGCUGCAACUCGCCUACAUGAAGUCGGAAUCGCUAGUAAUCGCGGAUCAGCACGCCGCGGUGAAUACGUUCCCGGGCCU